GCCACGGCGCCCGCGCCCGCCCCACCCUCCGCCCUGGCCCCGGCGCCGAAGCUUUCCCCGCCCACCAGGUUGGGGAUCUCGCCGCGGUACGACCUCGACGCCAAGUGGGACGCCUGCCUCGACCUCUCCAUCCGCCGCGUCGCCUACUCCUCCCUCGCCGGUGCCUUCGGGGGCCUCAGCCUCUUCCACUUCGUGAAGUAACUGUCACUAAAUCUAUGGUCUAAUGCUGGUGUGGGGAUAGGGGCUGCGUUCACUGAAUGCUCAUACAUAUUCAAUGGUUCUCCUCCAAAGUGGUUGGCCCCUGAAUGCUCAAUUGCUCUUACAUAUUCAAUGGUUCUCCUCCAAAGUGGGGAAAGGUAA
rnacentral:rRNA from 1 species